ACAUUGGGGGAGGAACACAAGGGCGCCCCAACGAACCUGAGGCACGCGCAUGCUUUGUCUUUAGGAGCAGGAAGUUAUCGGUUGCUUUCGUUAUUACAGUGGGCACAAAGCCACAGGCCGCACAGGGUGGUACUUAACUAUGGCACUGAGUGCUGUGGGCCCUAUAGAACUGCCCAGAAGCAAGUUGGGCUCCGUUAUCUAUUGGAUCUAUUAAAUUUCAGAGCAGUUCUGACUCUCAAAGGACAAACAUGGGGAGGAGGAGAGAAAAACAUUCUGGAUCCAGGAGUCUUCUGAUUAAUAAGAGGUCUAAAUCAGUACAUGGAGAAACAAGUCAACACGGGUUAGUCUAUCUUUUCUUCCUGCUGGACGCCUCCUCUCAUCUCUCAUGGCCCUUCCUUCUCUGCUCCACCCCAUCUGGACUGACCAGUCUGUAAUGCAAAGGAAGAUAAAAGAUGAACUCUCCAUGCGGAUAGGAGAGUGAACACCUUAUUUUCAUUUCCACGGCACUUUUGACUCGGCGUAUACUUUUUUCCCUCACCUCUCAAAAUAAGCUGGCGAAGUUAAGAAGGCAAUGUCUAUCUCGGCAGUAGAGGGACUCAGCAGAGAGAACAAGCAGCAACCAACAGGAUAUCUACAAAGGCCUGGAUCCUGACUGCAAUGCUGUGCACCUAAGAAUAAAUGAAAAUGAAAUCAGAACAGAAGAAUAAAGGGCAAGGGAGAGAAUCAAACUCCACAGGAUAUGUGUAAAAUGCUUUUAGUGACCUCAAAUUAUGGGAUUAAAAAUGGAAUGAAAAGGAAAUGGUUUUGAAAGUAAAUGAUGGAACGCAAGCAUUUGAACUUGCUCUCUAGGAAGUAACAAUAGCAAACCUCACUUAAGCUUCUGUGUAUUUAGAAAAUCAGAAACAAGGAGAAAUACUGGGACCAUUCUUUGGUUGGGGAGCCAUUAGAAACUACUAUUACUAAGAUAAUUCUCGAAAAGACAAGAAAGACCUCCAUUAAAACAAUAAAAAGGAGAGUCCACAGGGCCUCUGGAAGCAAGGGGCUUGAGUUGUUAGCGUCUCACCUCCCCUUCUUUUGUCCCAAACUCCAUCCCUUACCUACUGGGGAAGGUCAAAACCCAAACAACUCUAGAGCCAUGAGGGCCAGCUGUAUCAUUAGCAGGGCCCAGAAGAAAAUGAAAAUGUAGAACCUCUUAUUCAAAAAGCAGAAAAUAGCAUGCUACUAGAGGUAUUAAAAUGAACACUUUUCCCUUUCUUCCAGUCUUUCUCUUGACUUGUCAUCGUGUCUUUUUUAUUUUUACUUACUGCAUUAUAAAUAAAGAAAAAAAUAAAAAUUUAAAUUAUUAGCAUGA